rnacentral:lncRNA from 1 species
UGCAUAGAAAGACAUCAAAGACUUGACCAUGAUCACUGAAGAGUUGGACAGCAACAUCAUAUACUAGACAUGGUAGAACUCCAAAAUAUAGAGGGUCGAAUUCUCUGACUUGGACAUGAUAUGGGGCCUGAAAGACAAGUCAAGAUUCGAUAUGUAGAUCAGAAAACGAUAUGGAAAGAGGUCAUGAAGACUUAGGAGUAUGCUAUGCUACUAUGCACAGGGUGAAAAAAUGCAUCUCAAAAGUCAUGAAGCAACUCAGCCAUGCUAUUUCUUAGCUCUAUUACUGUCCAGAACUGACAAAUUUUCCAUCAUAUUCAUGAAGAAAAAGAUUUGGUAUACUCGUGAGGUUUUGGGAAGAUGUUUAUGGAUGAAUUUUGUUUACAACCAAUACUCGUGGGGUGUGAUCACUACAAAGACAUGGAGACUAAUUUAUGAUAUAUGGAUCAGAAUUUGCUCAUCUCAUUGGAGACAAAAGACAACAUUGUUUUGGUACAAAGGACAAACACAUAUAACAUUACCAAACAAAAGGACAUUCACAUGGAAGAGAUUUUAAAGACGAGAAAGAUUUUGUAUGGCAGAUAAGAUCUCCAUAAAACUGUAUGAGAAAAUCUUCAAGAAUAUCUAAGAGUCUACCAUAGUGAUCCUAUUGUAUAAAGAGUAUGACCAACAAACAACCACAUUAAUUGAUUAAUUAAUUAAAUAUUUGGUUUAUCCUAUUGUCUAGGUGAUCUCCAUUUAUGAAUAUUUUUUCUUUGGAGGAGGGAGGGAGGGAGAGGGAGAGGGAGAGGGAGAGGUCUCCAAUUAUAUAUGAAUACUUUUUGUUUGGAAGAGAGAGAGGGGGAGAGAGGUGGAGAGAGGGACAUUGUCUAAUGUAUAUAUAUACAUGUGUGUGUGUGUUUGUGUAAUGUGCAUCCAUGGCGGGCAGAAAAAUCACUCAGAAUCCCAAAAGAGCCAACUCUAGAGAAAAGCAAACAUGCAGAUGAAAAUUAUUUAACUGGGAAACCCCCAAAACAAACUGGACUUUGCAUGAGAGAAAGAGAGAAAAAGAGAUUUUCCCACUGUUUCCAUUGUCCCAAAUGAUUGUGAGAGGAAAAAGAUGCCCAGGUAAAGUUAGGAAGCACAGUCAUAUUCUCCCUCUUUACUCUCAAAGAUUACUAACAACUAUGCAAAUUAGGGUUUCUGAACCAUCUCCAAGACUCCAACUAGGGUUUAUCUAUGAAGAGAAUGAGAUUCCCUCUCCCCCAUUUCUCAAUAAAAUAAACCCUAAUCAACGACUGAUUCUCCCUCUUUUCUCAGGUUUUUUUUUCUCCUUAGCCAAUGAUAUGAACCAGAGUUUUCUUAUAUAUAUAGAGAUUUCUAAUACCUUCAUUGUAUAUUAUUAUCAUAUUCCAUUAUUUCCAUGGAGCUGAACUUGUGUAUAUAACUAAAUGGGAUGAUUACCAUUUUCUCGGGAAAGCUGGAAAGAAUCACAUGGACUGCAUCGGAAAGUUCGACUCAUCGCUGUUCGCCUUCAUUUGAUUUCUCUUUUUCUUCUUCUUCUUAUACGGGACACCCCUCGCCUUGGCUUGGGAGUCCCUCACUUCGCGUAAAUAAAUCCGAAUUGCCCCACUGGCAAAAGGGUUUUUCUCAGGUAAUCCUCCAUUUUCUUCAUAAGCAGCUCUGAGGCGACCGAUUAGGGCAUCAAGGCUGCCCCAAGCUUGUUUCAAUGGACAAGUACAAGGACCAGGUGGUUCAGGUUGCCCAAAAUAGACACAGCCUUGUAGGUGCACCUUAGUCUUUCCGAACUGAUCAAGAUAUCGAAGAAAAUCGAGUACUUGGUUGGAGUUGCACUGGGCGAGGGCAACUGGGGGUCUUUGAUUCUUCAAGAACUGUCCAAAGGUGUUCCAGUCUCGCCGCUUCUGCGACUCGUACCGACUCAGUGGUGGCGGUUGCUGCUGCUGAUCUUCAGCAGAGGAUCGAGUCGACGACCCUUCUCCUGUGUCCUUU